CUUAAAUCUUUUUUUCUUUUUUUGAUUUCCGGGAUAUUUUGAGAAGAUAUGUUGUGCAAUCCUUACUUUAAUGAUAAGGCUCUCAAAAAUUGUAACUCACACAGAGAGAAGAUGUCACCGUUUGUGACGGUUUUCUUUUUAUUGAUGCUCCUAAUAAACACAAGCCUGUUUCUGGAACAAGAACCUCUCUUUGCAUUCGGAACUAAGGGUAGUGCUGUGCUUCAGGUACCCUGCACAUUCGUAGACGUCUUUGUGUAUAGGUUAAAUCCAGACAAGUCGCGGGUGGUGAGCAAUUACUCCACCAGAGAUCCUAGCACCGCAUAUUUCCUACUUAAUAUUUCAGAAAAUCAAGAGUAUUUCUCUGAAUGCUGGAAGAAUGGGCUGCUUAUGGAGAAAAGACGCUUUCACGUGAUAGUUUGUGCUCAGACGGAGGGACAAGAGAAAAUGUAUUAUCUUCAUGGUGAAACUGCGCACAUCUCCUGUCAGAAGUUCAAUUCCAGUCGUGGAGAGACUCUUCAGGUGUUUCAGAAUUUAAAAACAAGGGAUCUCAGAUGGGCAGGUGAAAUGAUUCUGGAUACCAGCGUAUCUCUGGAGAUCAUUCCAGAUGCACUUAGGAGCAGAAUGAAAGUCCUGAACGAAGGCUCUUUAAUUCAUUUAUCAAAAACUUCAAUUAUGGACGAUGGUUUUUUCAGUUGUUUGGUUUGGAGUGACAAUCAGUGCCAAAACCACAAGAAGAUUGAACUAUACAUUGAUGGACAGGACAUUUUCCUCGUCUCGGGAGAGAGUUACGCUUUGCCCUGUGGAGUUAAAGGUUCCCCAUCAGAGGACAUAUAUUGGCUAACUCCCAGUCGAUCAGCAGGUGAAAUUUAUGAAAAGCUGAAUGCCACAAAGACUAGUAACUACUCUUUGGUCAUUCCUCACCUUUUGCCGUACCACACUGGAACAUACAUCUGUUCUUCACAAUCAGAGACAUUUAAUGAACUCAACGUUUUUGUUUGUUCCAUUCUCGAUCCCAUCAAUAUCACGUUUGCUUUGGGUGACAGUGCUGAUUUGAUGUGUGCUUUCAAUCUGUCGUACUUUGCCAGAGUACAGUGGUACAGGGAGUUCAAUCAAAGCUCAGAAUACCUGCUAGUCGACAGAAAAGGUCAUUUUGUGAAAGAGGACAUGAAGAAGCGGCUGAAUGCAUCCGACCCCAAUCACAUUACCAUAUCGGAGCUUUCGAUCCAGGACGGCGGCUCCUAUCGGUGCAGGGUUUGGGCGUUAUUUGACAUUCCCAGAGGCUGGUGUAUUAGUCGCAGAGUUCAUUUAACAUACAUGACACCUCGGCUGGACACUUUCUAUUUUGUGUAUGCUUCUCUGAUGGGCCUGAUGUUGCUGGGGAUGAUCUCUGCAGUGGUUUGUGUCACGAUAGUAAGCAGGAACAGAUACAAAAGAGAGGUCUGUAUUGACAACUACGACUAGAAUAGACACAUAGGCAUGAAUGGGGCCCAAAACAAGUUAAAAACUUUAGUCAAAGUGAAAAUAUGCAUUGUAGCUGUUGCUAGUUGUUUUAAAAAAGUUAAUAAAUUUAUGACAUUUUAUACUAUUUUAUUUGGGGAGUCAAGUGAUAUUGAUUAUGAGACUCUUUGUAUAGACGGACCCCAAUGUAGUUUCUUGGAUGGACAGAAUUAAUAAAAUGUAUCAUAAAUAAAUGAGCAUAUAUACAGUGUGUUAAUUAGUUUUCUGUGACAAAAGGUUUUACUUUUUUAUACUGCAAAGAAAAAAGCGCUGAACUGAAAUACAAACAUUUAAAAAAUGUGAAGGGAAAAUAUAUCAUAGUCAUUAAAUUUGCUGUUCUUAUUAUUUUGAGUUUAUAUAGCCUAGCAAGCAAGAAAGACUUUAUUAGGCCAAGUGUAAAGAAACAUGCAUGUGAAUAAAAAAAAUAAUAGUAAAGAAUAAUGUCUUUCAGAGAGUUUAAAGUUUGAAACAUAAGCAAAAGUAGCAAUAUGGCAACUUUGUUAGAAAUGCAUUAAUAUACGUGUGUUUUCCUUUGAUUUAUUAAGCUUAUUACUUUCUCUUUAUUAUUAUUUUUUUAUAUUAUCAUAUAUUAAACUCUUGUCAUUCUGAUUACAUCAAUAAAAAUAAAAAGCAAA
ensembl:lncRNA